rnacentral:piRNA from 1 species
UUUGAAAAAAAAUGUACUGUA